UACGGAGGGUGCGAGCGUUGUCCGGAUUUAUUGGGUUUAAAGGGUGCGUAGGUGGCUAAUUAAGUCAGUGGUGAAAUCCAGCCGCUCAACGGUUGAGGUGCCAUUGAUACUGAUUAGCUUGAAACAAGUGGAGGCUGCCGGAAUGGAUGGUGUAGCGGUGAAAUGCGUAGAUAUCAGCAAGAACACCGAUUGCGAAGGCAGGUGGCUGCGUUUGAUUUGACACUGAGGCACGAAAGCGUGGGGAGCAAACAGG
rnacentral:rRNA from 1 species